rnacentral:rRNA from 1 species
UACGUAGGGUGCGAGCGUUGUCCGGAAUUAUUGGGCGUAAAGGGCUCGUAGGCGGUCUGUCGCGUCGAGAGUGAAAACCCAGGGCUUAACCCUGGGCCUGCUUCCGAUACGGGCAGACUAGAGGUAUGCAGGGGAGAACGGAAUUCCUGGUGUAGCGGUGAAAUGCGCAGAUAUCAGGAGGAACACCGGUGGCGAAGGCGGUUCUCUGGGCAUGACCUGACGCUGAGGAGCGAAAGUGUGGGGAGCGAACAGG